rnacentral:ncRNA from 1 species
UCAAAACAUUUGCUCCCGCUGGAGCGGGGGCAUAACAUCAAUAAAGGCAUAAACAUCGCACAUAUUUAUGGUGAAUAUAUAAAUUGGCUAUGAGGAUGGUUUUAGUACGUAGGCGUUGCGGAACUUCGGUUCAGAUAGAGCAAUGAAUCGUGCAUGCUAGGAAACUGAAGUGUUGACAGACCUAGUAUCUUUCGAUAGAUUUCCAUACCUCCGCGAUCAAAAAAAAAAAAAAAAAAAAAAAAAAAAUAGCCAAAUGCCUCGUCAUCUAAUUAGUGACGCGCAUGAAUGGAUUAACGAGAUUCCUACUGUCCCUAUCUACUAUCUAGCGAAACCACAGCCAAGGGAACGGGCUUGGAAUAAUUAGCGGGGAAAGAAGACCCUUUUGAGCUUGACUCUAAUCUGGCAGUGUAAGGAGACAUAAGAGGUGUAGAAUAAGUGGGAGAUAUUAGACCUCGGUUUGGUAUCGUCAAUGAAAUACCACUACUCUUAUUGUUUCCUUACUUACUUGAUUAAAUGGAACGUGUAUCAUUUCCUAGCCAUUAUACGGAUAUAUUUAUUAUAUCUUAUGGUAUUGGGUUUUGAUGCAAGCUUCUUGAUCAAAGUAUCACGAGUUUGUUAUAUAAUCGCAAACAAAUUCUUUAAUAAAACGAUGCAUUUAUGUAUUUUUGAUUUGAAAAUUUGGUAUAACUCCAAUUACUCAGGUAUGAUCCAAUUCAAGGACAUUGCCAGGUAGGGAGUUUGACUGGGGCGGUACAUCUCUCAAAUAAUAACGGAGGUGUCCCAAGGCCAGCUCAGUGCGGACAGAAACCACACAUAGAGCAAAAGGGCAAAUGCUGACUUGAUCUCGGUGUUCAGUACACACAGGGACAGCAAAAGCUCGGCCUAUCGAUCCUUUUGGUUUAAAGAGUUUUAACAAGAGGUGUCAGAAAAGUUACCAUAGGGAUAACUGGCUUGUGGCGGCCAAGCGUUCAUAGCGACGUCGCUUUUUGAUCCUUCGAUGUCGGCUCUUCCUAUCAUUGUGAAGCAAAAUUCACCAAGCGUUGGAUUGUUCACCCAUGCAAGGGAACGUGAGCUGGGUUUAGACCGUCGUGAGACAGGUUAGUUUUACCCUACUAAUGACAAAACGUUGUUGCGACAGCAUUCCUGCGUAGUACGAGAGGAACCGCAGUACGGACCAAUGGACAAUACUUGUCGAGCGACAGUGGGAUGACGCUACGCCGUUGGAUAUGCUGAACGCUCUAAGGUCGUAUCCGUGCUGGACUGCAUGAUAAAUAAGGGCAUUGCAUGAUGGCUUCUAAACCAUUAAAGUUAUAUUAUUUAUAACGACAUGGAUGGAUGCCAUGAAUUUGAACUAGAAUUAGAGAUCUCUAUCACCUGAUGCCGUAGUACUAUAAAGCAUAUUUAUACAUGCCAAGCUAGAUCAUUGUACCA